CCAGGCUAGAGUGCAAGAUGGAUACGCCCGUCAUUGUGACGAGUCACUAGCAGGAGCGUUCCAGCUUUGCAGAGUGGUUGAGACGGAUUGUUCGGCGUACAUGAUGAGGGUACGCGGUGGAUCCCCGAUGAGCCCAAUGGAGCAGUCUGAUGCAUGGGCGAGGACCCGUGACCACAUCCGUACAGUUCUUCACGCGUUUGGUAGUCGUGUACAGUACGACGAUGACCAGGCUUCUUCUCGUGGGUCUGCCACGACCACCCAGGCACCGGCAGUGGAACAGCCGAUACCAAUGCCACAUCAGGCAUCCCAGCCACCUCCUCAGUACUACCCAGGUGCAGGCUAUGGACCACCUACGUCGUACGCCCAAGCGGGACCAUGGAGCCACCCCUCGUGGAACUUCGUCCCAAACUGCGGUCCGCCACCACAAUUUGCACCACAGUGGGGGAUGCCACCACAGUUUGCACCACAAGGCCCGCCUGUGACACCGUCGCCUGCCUACACA